UCUUCAGUAGCUCAGUUGGUUAGAGCAUCUGACUGUUAAUCAGAGGGUCGCUGGUUCGAGCCCAGCCUGAAGAGCAA
rnacentral:tRNA from 1 species